UACGUAGGGUGCAAGCGUUAAUCGGAAUUACUGGGCGUAAAGCGUGCGCAGGCGGUUUUGUAAGUUUUGUCGUGAAAGCCCCGGGGCUCAACCUGGGAAUUGCGAUGAAGACUGCAAGGCUUGAAUCUGGCAGAGGGGGGGUAGAAUUCCACGUGUAGCAGUGAAAUGCGUAGAGAUGUGGAGGAACACCGAUGGCGAAGGCAGCCCCCUGGGUCAAGAUUGACGCUCAUGCACGAAAGCGUGGGGAGCAAACAGG
rnacentral:rRNA from 1 species